rnacentral:tRNA from 1 species
AGUGUAGGUCAACCGGAUAGAGCGCUGGAUUGCUUAUCCGAAGGUCGGGGGUUCGCGUCCCCCGGCACUA